rnacentral:rRNA from 1 species
GAUGAACGCUGGCGGCGUGCCUAAUACAUGCAAGUCGAGCGAACAGAUGAGGAGCUUGCUCCUCUGACGUUAGCGGCGGACGGGUGAGUAACACGUGGAUAACCUACCUAUAAGACUGGGAUAACUUCGGGAAACCGGAGCUAAUACCGGAUAAUAUAUUGAACCGCAUGGUUCAAUAGUGAAAGACGGUUUUGCUGUCACGUAUAGAUGGAUCCGCGCCGCAUUAGCUAGUUGGUAAGGUAAAGGCUUACCAAGGCAACGAUGCGUAGCCGGUCUGAGAGGGUGAUCAGCCACACUGGAACUGAGACACGGUCCAGACUCCUACGGGAGGCAGCAGUGGGGAAUAUUGGGCAAUGGGCGAAAGCCUGACCGAGCCACGCCGCGUGGGUGAUGAAGGUCUUCGGAUCGUAAAGCUCUGUUAUUAGGAAAGAACAAAUGUAUAAGAAACUAUGCACGUCUUGACGGUACCCAAUCAGAAAGCCACGGCUAACUACGUG